AACCAAAGUCAGACAACCAACUGAGCCACCCAGGUGCCCCUAGAGAGAGAGAGAUUCCUGAAUGUGGAAUUGAGGGAUGCCUGCAAGCCUAUUGCUUUUUCAUGCAUUUGUUCAUAAGGUCUGUUUAUAUACCCUAACGCUGCUGAUACUCACACCCGGCCCGCCAACCAAAGGGAGUGUCCAGCACCCUUUACCAGGAGUGGAGGGAAGGAUACUUGACAUGGCCUUGUGUCCAUCCAUCCUUUCUCCUCGUGCUGGUAAAUAAGAAGAAAGGCAUCGUUUCCUGAAACUUACUCUGAGCCAUCUAACGGAACAACGGAAUUAAAACUCAGGUGCUCUGAUGCUGGGUUUCCGGACAAGUCACUCGCUGAUAAUCUGAAAAGAACCUGGAGGAACGUCUUACCUGGCACCGGGCCUCCAGCUCCUGCCGUAUUUUCCGCUCUGCCUCCAGCCGCAGCUCCUGCUGUUUGUUCCGCGCUGAGGUCUCAUACUGGCUCGUGGCCAACAGCUGCAUCUCUUUCUGUAGGUUAGUCAUUUCAGAUACAAAUUUCUGGAUACUCAGUGACUGGUAGGGUACAAAGAGGGCAGCAGUUGGUGAACCUGUCCCACAUAAACCUGAGAUUUAUGUGAAUAGUAAACAGAGUUUGUGGAAAUCAUCUACCUGUUCAUAAUUUUUUUUCUGAUACUGAUCCUUAAUUAGCUCCAUUUGCCUCAAUUCUGUUUCU